rnacentral:lncRNA from 1 species
UCCCCACGCCUGUGUGGGGCCAGCAGGGGCUCAGCCCACGGGGCUCCCUCCCCACGGGCACCGGCCGAGCGUCGCGGGGCGAUGGAGCGAGAGCGCUGGGGAAGGAGCUGGGGCUGGUUCCAGCACCGACACGUGACGUGGCCUGGGGAGCCUGGAUGGCCUCCAGCCCUGCGGCACGGACAGAGAGGGAUCGGACGUGGUGCCGGGCUGGGGGCUCCCCGUAAUUCCUCUCCUUUGCUCCUUAAAACAACCCGAGGAAUGGCUCACAUGUUUUGCUUUAUUGAACACGAUGUCACUGGGAAAAGCCACGAUGUGAACACGUUUCCGGAGAGCAACCCUCAGCCCCUGAGUGUGGGUGCUCCAGGCUGGGAAAGCUAUUUCCUCCCGAUCUGCAGCUGUCUGACACGUAGCUGCUCCUUGCUGAGUAGUGCAGCUGAUGAGAAACCUCGGCCAUAAACGUUACACACGUUUGCACUUUCCCCGUGCCAGCUCAAGGUACAUUUCUCAGUCUCCUCUGUAGCAGGCUAUUUUCCAUCCCUCCCCUGUGUGACAGUCACGGAGGUAAGGGCUGUCCUCUUCUACUCAGAGCCAUGGAGCCAGGGGAACCGUUCCCUCAAACCAUCGGGCUCUCACAGCCCCUGUUUCCACCCCAUUCCCCCACGCAGGUUUUGGGACUUCCUGCCCUUUUCACAUGGUGUUGUGCUCCUUAAGUGCACCACGCACCAGCUGUCUUCCCACCCACUGUAUCAUCGUAUUCCUGGAGGCGCCAAGCCACGCAGUUGGGGCACAGUGUUGUAGUUAAAGAAGGGCUGAUCUCAUGAUGAAAGUACUGCCUGAGACUUAAGUGUUUUAGGGUGAAUUAGUGCUCUGCUCGAGUUUGUAGCAGAAGGAAUUUCCCCGAGUUCAGCCGUCGGGUCAGCCAGCAGCUUCCUACACUAACCCACUGGAGAACACAUGAAGUCCAAGUUCAUUACCUCCCCACCCACAGGGCUGGCAACUUGUGAGAAAGCUCACUAAGAGCGAGGAUUACAGUGGGAUUACAGUGGGAUUACAGUGAUGGUGUGGGCCUGGAGGAGCCCCAGGGACAUCACGGCACUGAAAGAAACACGGGGACUUCUGCCACACAUCAGGUUUGGGACAGAGCUCUCCUCCUGGCUGUAUUUGCUGAAAAGCUUCAUCUAGGCCGUAGCUGGAAACUGAAAAAAUAAGGUGGAUUAGCUUGGUUUUGACUUGAAAUUGGAGCCAUGAAUUUGUAGGGGGGCCACCAGCCUUGGGGUGUCCCUAGAAACGUGCGACUUUGGGCAGGAUCCUGUUGUACACCCAGCAGCUUCAGCUGGAUGCUCCUCACACAGCUGAUGAUACCCGACGUGGUCAGAACUUUAGCGAGCCCCUUUCUUCUUAUGACUCUAUUAAGUGUUAGAAAAGAACGUUUCCAAGGCUCUUUUCAUCAAAACUAUAUGUUUAUUUAUAAAAGAGAAUGGAAAAAAAUAGACCAAAGUGCUUUGUUCUAUAAAAGACAAUACCGUGGAGGUCGAAUGCCUUAGACCUGAGUAUCCAUGGCAUUGCAGCCCAGAGCUGGAUGUGGCUGAUCCAGAUCUGGUGCUGAAUAUCACGGAAAUUUGGAAUUAGAAAGGUCAGCAAAGGAUUUUUCCACUGAUGACUAAAGGACUUAACCACACAUCUCCUACUGAUUUCAAUUAGAGAUGUAUGGCCAAAUCCCUUCACUGGCUUUCAAAGUUCAAGCCCAGUUAAAUCCAGAGAAUAAAAAUAUAUAAUUUUUUGACUCCA